AACAGAUUCAGCUACUCCUGGCUUUCCCUUAUCUGCUAAUUCUGAGUCCAUGAUGUGGAAUCUUUUGCCUGUUUUAUCAUAAGAGAUCCAUUUUCUUGAGUGACUGGAUCUGUGAGCCAGUUUAGUUGCUGCACGAAAGAUACGCUGUGAACGACAUACACUCUUACUACUGAAAUUAUCAAUGCAUUCCAAAUGGCUCGUGAAGUCCAAAGACUUGUGAGCAUGGGCCAUGGGAUGAAACCCCUUCAGUUCAUAGUCUUCCCAAAGAGCAG
rnacentral:misc_RNA from 1 species